GUGGGGAAUCUUGCGCAAUGGGCGAAAGCCUGACGCAGCCAUGCCGCGUGAAUGAUGAAGGUCUUAGGAUUGUAAAAUUCUUUCACCGGGGACGAUAAUGACGGUACCCGGAGAAGAAGCCCCGGCUAACUUCGUGCCAGCAGCCGCGGUAAUACGAAGGGGGCUAGCGUUGCUCGGAAUUACUGGGCGUAAAGGGCGCGUAGGCGGACAGCUUAGUCAGAGGUGAAAGCCCAGGGCUCAACCUUGGAAUUGUCUUUGAUACUGGCUGUCUUGAGUUUGGGAGAGGUGAGUGGAACUCCGAGUGUAGAGGUGAAAUUCGUAGAUAUUCGGAAGAACACCAGUGGCGAAGGCGACUCACUGGCCCAAUACUGACGCUGAGGCGCGAAAGCGUGGGGAGCAAACAGGAUUAGAAACCCGUGUAGUCC
rnacentral:rRNA from 1 species